UACGUAGGGGGCAAGCGUUGUCCGGAUUUACUGGGCGUAAAGAGCGUGUAGGCGGCCAGACCGGUCCGUUGUGAAAACUGGAGGCUCAACCUUCAGACGUCGACGGAAACCGUUUGGCUAGAGUCCGGAAGAGGAGAGUGGAAUUCCUGGUGUAGCGGUGAAAUGCGCAGAUAUCAGGAAGAACACCGAUGGCGAAGGCAGCUCUCUGGGACGGUACUGACGCUGAGACGCGAAAGCGUGGGGAGCGAACGGG
rnacentral:rRNA from 1 species